GAUGAACGCUGGCGGCGUGCCUAAUACAUGCAAGUCGAGCGAACAGACGAGGAGCUUGCUCCUCUGACGUUAGCGGCGGACGGGUGAGUAACACGUGGAUAACCUACCUAUAAGACUGGGAUAACUUCGGGAAACCGGAGCUAAUACCGGAUAAUAUAUUGAACCGCAUGGUUCAAUAGUGAAAGACGGUUUUGCUGUCACUUAUAGAUGGAUCCGCGCCGCAUUAGCUAGUUGGUAAGGUAACGGCUUACCAAGGCGACGAUGCGUAGCCGAUCUGAGAGGGUGAUCGGCCACACUGGAACUGAGACACGGUCCAGACUCCUACGGGAGGCAGCAGUAGGGAAUCUUCCGCAAUGGGCGAAAGCCUGACGGAGCAACGCCGCGUGAGUGAUGAAGGUCUUCGGAUCGUAAAGCUCUGUUAUUAGGGAAGAACAAAUGUGUAAGUAACUAUGCACGUCUUGACGGUACCUAAUCAGAAAGCCACGGCUAACUACGUG
rnacentral:rRNA from 1 species